GUGGGUAUAGUACAGUGGUAGAAUGUGUGCUUGGUGUGCUUGAGGUCCGGGGUUCAAUCCCCAGUGCCUCCG
rnacentral:tRNA from 1 species